CCUACGGGAGGCAGCAGUGGGGAAUAUUGGACAAUGGGGGCAACCCUGAUCCAGCCAUGCCGCGUGUGUGAAGAAGGCCCUCGGGUUGUAAAGCACUUUCAGCGAGGAAGAACGCCUAGCGGUUAAUACCUGCUAGGAAAGACAUCACUCGCAGAAGAAGCACCGGCUAACUCCGUGCCAGCAGCCGCGGUAAUACGGAGGGUGCGAGCGUUAAUCGGAAUUACUGUGCGUAAAGCGCGCGUAGGUGGCUUGAUAAGCCGGUUGUGAAAGCCCCGGGCUCAACCUGGGAACGGCAUCCGGAACUGUCAAGCUAAAGUGCAGGAGAGGAAGGUAGAAUUCCCGGUGUAGCGGUGAAAUGCGUAGAGAUCGGGAGGAAUACCAGUGGCGAAGGCGGCCUUCUGGACUGACACUGACACUGAGGUGCGAAAGCGUGGGUAGCAAACAGGAUUAGAUACCCUGGUAGUCCACGCCGUAAACGAUGUCGACCAGCCGUUGGGUGCCUAGCGCACUUUGUGGCGAAGUUAACGCGAUAAGUCGACCGCCUGGGGAGUACGGCCGCAAGGUUAAAACUCAAAUGAAUUGACGGA
rnacentral:rRNA from 1 species